GAUGAACGCUGGCGGCGUGCCUAAUACAUGCAAGUCGAGCGAACGGACGAGAAGCUUGCUUCUCUGAUGUUAGCGGCGGACGGGUGAGUAACACGUGGAUAACCUACCUAUAAGACUGGGAUAACUUCGGGAAACCGGAGCUAAUACCGGAUAAUAUUUUGAACCGCAUGGUUCAAAAGUGAAAGACGGUCUUGCUGUCACUUAUAGAUGGAUCCGCGCUGCAUUAGCUAGUUGGUAAGGUAACGGCUUACCAAGGCAACGAUGCAUAGCCGACCUGAGAGGGUGAUCGGCCACACUGGAACUUAGGCACGGUCCAGACUCCUACGGGAGGCAGCAGUAGGGAAUCUUCCGCAAUGGGCGAAAGCCUGACGGAGCAACGCCGCGUGAGUGAUGAAGGUCUUCGGAUCGGAAAACUCUGUUAUUAGGGAAGAACAUAUGUGUAAGUAACUGUGCACAUCUUGACGGUACCUAAUCAGAAAGCCACGGCUAACUACGUG
rnacentral:rRNA from 1 species